rnacentral:rRNA from 1 species
UGGGGAAUCUUGGACAAUGGGGGCAACCCUGAUCCAGCCAUGCCGCGUGAGUGAUGAAGGCCUUAGGGUCGUAAAGCUCUUUCGCCUGUGAAGAUAAUGACGGUAGCAGGUAAAGAAACCCCGGCUAACUCCGUGCCAGCAGCCGCGGUAAUACGGAGGGGGUUAGCGUUGUUCGGGAAUUACUGGGCGUAAAGCGCACGUAGGCGGACCAGAAAGUUGGGGGUGAAAUCCCGGGGGCUCAACCCCGGAACUGCCUCCAAAACUAUUGGUCUAGAGUUCGAGAGAGGUGAGUGGAAUUCCAAGUGUAGAGGUGAAAUUCGUAGAUAUUUGGAGGAACACCAGUGGCGAAGGCGGCUCACUGGCUCGAUACUGACGCUGAGGUGCGAAAGUGUGGGGAGCAAACAGGAUUAGAUACCCUGGUAGUCCACACCGUAAAACGAUGAAUGCCAGUCGUCGGGGUAGCAUGCUAUUCGGUGACACACCUAACGGA